UGUCGUCAGCUCGUGUCGUGAGAUGUUGGUUAAGUCCCGUAACGAGCGCACCUGUCCUUAGUUACCAGCACGUUAAGGUGGGCACUCUAAGGAGACUGCCGGUGACAAACCGGAGGAAGGUGGGGAUGACGUCAAGUCAUCAUGGCCCUUACGGCCUGGGCUACACACGUGCUACAAUGGUCGGUACAAAGGGUUGCCAAGCCGCGAGGUGGAGCUAAUCCCAUAAAACCGAUCGUAGUCCGGAUCGCAGUCUGCAACUCGACUGCGUGAAGUCGGAAUCGCUAAUAAUCGUGAAUCAGAAUGUCACGGUGAAUACGUUCCCGGGCCUU
rnacentral:rRNA from 1 species